rnacentral:rRNA from 1 species
GACGAACGCUGGCGGCGUGCUUAACACAUGCAAGUCGAACGGAAAGGCCCUGCUUUUGUGGGGUGCUCGAGUGGCGAACGGGUGAGUAACACGUGAGUAACCUGCCCUUGACUUUGGGAUAACUUCAGGAAACUGGGGCUAAUACCGGAUAGGAGCUCCUGCUGCAUGGUGGGGGUUGGAAAGUUUCGGCGGUUGGGGAGGGACUCGCGGCUUAUCAGCUUGUUGGUUGGGUAGUGGCUUACCAAGGCUUUGACGGGUAGCCGGCCUGAGAGGGUGACCGGCCACAUUGGGACUGAGAUACGGCCCAGACUCCUACGGGAGGCAGCAGUGGGGAAUAUUGCACAAUGGGCGGAAGCCUGAUGCAGCAACGCCGCGUGCGGGAUGACGGGCUUCGGGUUGUAAACCGCUUUCGCCUGUGACGAAGCGUGAGUGACGGUAAUGGGUAAAGAAGCACCGGCUAACUACGUG